UAGGGAAUCUUCCACAAUGGACGCAAGUCUGAUGGAGCAACGCCGCGUGAGUGAAGAAGGUUUUGGGAUCGUAAACCUCUGUUGUUGGGGAAGAAGGAUGGGGGCGGUAACUGGUCUUAAUUUGACGGAAAUCACCCAGAAAGCCACGGCUAACUACGUGCCAGCAGCCGGGGAAAUAGUUAGUUGGCAAGCGUUGUCCGGUUUUUUUGGGCGUAAAGAGAGGGCAGGCGGAAUGAUAAGUCUGAUGUGAAAGCCCACGGCUCAACCGUGGAACUGCAUCGGAAACUGUCAUUCUUGAGUGCAGAAGAGGAGAGUGGAAUUCCAUGUGUAGCGGUGGAAUGCGUAGAUAUAUGGAAGAACACCAGUGGCGAAGGCGGCUCUCUGGUCUGCAACUGACGCUGAGGCUCGAAAGCAUGGGUAGCGAACAGG
rnacentral:rRNA from 1 species